GCCCAGGUAGCUCAGUCGGUAGAGCGAGGGGCUGAAAAUCCCUGCGUCGCUGGUUCAACUCCGGCCCUGGGCA
rnacentral:tRNA from 1 species